rnacentral:pre_miRNA from 1 species
AUGAGAUGAAAUCAGCUUUUGGACAUACGGUUUCACGUUGAUUUCAUCUCAUGA